rnacentral:rRNA from 1 species
GUAGGUGGCAAGCGUUGUCCGGGAAUUAUUGGGGCGUAAAGCGCGCGCAGGCGGUUCUUUAAGUCUGAUGUGAAAGCCCACGGGCUCAACCGUGGAGGGUCAUUGGAAACUGGAGAACUCGAGUACAGAAGAGGAAAGCGGAAUUCCACGUGUAGCGGUGAAAUGCGUAGAGAUGUGGAGGAACACCAGUGGCGAAGGCGGCUUUCUGGUCUGUAACUGACGCUGAGGCGCGAAAGCGUGGGGAGCAAACAGGAUUAGAUACCCUGGUAGUCCACGCCGUAAACGAUGAGUGCUAAGUGUUAGGGGGUUUCCGCCCCUUAGUGCUGCAGCUAACGCAUUAAGCACUCCGCCUGGGGAGUACGGCCGCAAAGGCUG